rnacentral:rRNA from 1 species
AUUGAACGCUGGCGGCAUGCCUUACACAUGCAAGUCGAACGGCAGCAUGGAGAGCUUGCUCUCUGAUGGCGAGUGGCGAACGGGUGAGUAAUGCAUCGGAACGUACCGUGUAAUGGGGGAUAACGUAGCGAAAGUUACGCUAAUACCGCAUACGACCUGAGGGUGAAAGCAGGGGAUCGCAAGACCUUGCGUUAUACGAGCGGCCGAUGUCAGAUUAGCUAGUUGGUGAGGUAAAGGCUCACCAAGGCGACGAUCUGUAGCGGGUCUGAGAGGAUGAUCCGCCACACUGGGACUGAGACACGGCCCAGACUCCUACGGGAGGCAGCAGUGGGGAAUAUUGGACAAUGGGCGCAAGCCUGAUCCAGCCAUACCGCGUGGGUGAAGAAGGCCUUCGGGUUGUAAAGCCCUUUUGCUGGGAAAGAAAUCCAGCCGGCUAAUACCUGGUUGGGAUGACGGUACCCAAAGAAUAAGCACCGGCUAACUUCGUGCCAGCCGCCGCGGUAA